CCGACCCAGCCCUGCAUCAAUAUGGUCUCACUCGGGGAGCCGAGAGUUACCAGGUUGUCUUAGGAGGGACGAAUCAGCCCAGGGUGGAAACGCAGCAGGCAAAAGUCCCCAUGUCGCGCAGUAGUGGGAU
rnacentral:SRP_RNA from 1 species